AUGUUCGAAGAAUGCAACAAUGAUGCAUCACAAAAAAAGUAUGACAAGACAACUUUUCAGAAUUUAAUUUUAUUGUUGAUUAAUCUAUUUUUAGAUGGUUAUACAACUCCUCAACAUACUCUCGGUCAUGUUUAGGUUCAUGUCCAUCCAUAGAAGGUGGGGUCCUGCGGAUUUCCGGAUGGAAAGAAUUGUAGACAAGUUGGCCAUGAAGGAGGAGUUGUCUGAUAUUAUAAAAUUUUCUAUAAACAAUGACUGGGAUCUUCAAGGCAACGAUACAAACUUGAAGCCCAGUAGAAUAAAAAAAAUUGUAAACCAUUUAGCAACCGGUUUACCGGAUCACCAUUACCAAUUGUGACAUUGACUUUUCAUUUUAACUGCUUGUUAUAAAUCAU
rnacentral:lncRNA from 1 species